rnacentral:rRNA from 1 species
UACGAAGGGGGCUAGCGUUGUUCGGAAUUACUGGGCGUAAAGGGCUCGUAGGUGGCCAACUAAGUCAACCGUGAAAUCCCUCGGCUUAACCGGGGAACUGCGUUUGAUACUGGAUGGCUUGAGUUUGGGAGAGGGAUGCGGAAUUCCAGGUGUAGCGGUGAAAUGCGUAGAUAUCUGGAGGAACACCGGUGGCGAAGGCGGGUCUCUGGGCAGUAACUGACGCUGGGGAGCGAAAGCGUGGGGAGCGAACAGG